rnacentral:rRNA from 1 species
UUUUAUGCUUGCAUAAAUGAUUUUUGGAUUCGGAGCGAGUGGCGAACUGGUGAGUAACACGUGGGUAACCUGCCCCGAAGCGGGGGAUAACAUUUGGAAACAAGUGCUAAUACCGCAUAAUUAGUUGGAACCGCAUGGUUCCAACUUGAAAGAUGGCUCUGCUAUCACUUUGGGAUGGACCCGCGCCGUAUUAGUUAGUUGGUGAGAUAAAAGCCCACCAAGACGAUGAUACGUAGCCGACCUGAGAGGGUAAUCGGCCACAUUGGGACUGAGACACGGCCCAGACUCCUACGGGAGGCAGCAGUAGGGAAUCUUCCACAAUGGACGAAAGUCUGAUGGAGCAACGCCGCGUGAGUGAUGAAGGUUUUCGGAUCGUAAAACUCUGUUGUUAAAGAAGAACAAGUGUUAGAGUAACUGUUAACACUUUGACGGUAUUUAACCAGAAAGCCACGGCUAACUACGUGCCAGCAGCCGCGGUAAUACGUAGGUGGCAAGCGUUGUCCGGAUUUAUUGGGCGUAAAGCGAGCGCAGGCGGUUUUGUAAGUCUGCUGUGAAAGCCCUCAGCUCAACUGAGGAAGUGCAGUGGAAACUACAAAACUUGAGUACAGAAGAGGAAAGUGGAACUCCAUGUGUAGCGGUGAAAUGCGUAGAUAUAUGGAAGAACACCAGUGGCGAAGGCGGCUUUCUGGUCUGUUACUGACGCUGAGGCUCGAAAGCAUGGGUAGCGAACAGGAUUAGAUACCCUGGUAGUCCAUGCCGUAAACGAUGAAUACUAGGUGUUGGGAGGGUUUCCGCCCUUCAGUGCCGCAGCUAACGCAUUAAGUAUUCCGCCUGGGGAGUACGACCGCAAGGUUGAAACUCAAAGGAAUUGACGGGGGCCCGCACAAGUGGUGGAGCAUGUGGUUUAAUUCGAUGCUACGCGAAGAACCUUACCAGCUCUUGACAUCUUCUGCCAACCCAAGAGAUUGGGCGUUCCCUUCGGGGACAGAAUGACAGGUGGUGCAUGGUUGUCGUCAGCUCGUGUCGUGAGAUGUUGGGUUAAGUCCCGCAACGAGCGCAACCCUUAUUAUUAGUUGCCAGCAUUUAGUUGGGCACUCUAGUGAGACUGCCGGUGAUAAACCGGAGGAAGGUGGGGACGACGUCAAAUCAUCAUGCCCCUUAUGAGCUGGGCUACACACGUGCUACAAUGGAUGGUACAACGAGUCGCGAAACCGCGAGGUCAAGCUAAUCUCUUAAAGCCAUUCUCAGUUCGGAUUGCAGGCUGCAACUCGCCUGCAUGAAGUUGGAAUCACUAGUAAUCGUGGAUCAGCAUGCCACGGUGAAUACGUUCCCGGGCCUUGUACACACCGCCCGUCACACCAUGAGAGUUUGUAACACCCAAAGACG